CAGAAGCAAUGGAUUUCUUCAGGGCAGUGAAGCAGGCAAUGGCAUGUGGUGAGAGUGAGAAGGGCUCGCUCUUCAGGGCAUCGUAGAGUGGUUGCAUUAGCUGGGAGGCUUCUGGAAUCCAGGAUCUGCAAUACGUGAUGAGGCCUAAAAAGCCAUGGAGAGACUGAUGAGCUGCAGGUAAUGGUAGAUUCAAGAUGGCUAAGAUCCUUUGUUUGGUGAAGUGACGGGUGCCAUGGGAGAGGCAAUGUCCCAAGAAGACCACAGAGGGCCGGCACCACUGGAGUUUUGAUUUGGAGACAAGCAAGGAAGCAGAGGAGGUCCUCAGAAUCUCGUUCAGCAGUCUG